ensembl:lncRNA
AUGGCACUAAACCAGGAAAAAACGAAAAAAAUAAAUGUAAGAAACUAUGUUUUAGAAAAUAUAAAAAUAAACGGUUUUACUUUUUUAUUACAUAAAAAUAAUAGUCAAAAAAUAAACGAAUUAGAAAAAAAAAUAAUAUCACGUUUAGCAGAUGAUUUAUUAGAAAAUAUUUGUGAAAGAUCAAUAAGUUGUAUAUUUCAUCAUUAUUUUUUAACAAAUAAAAGAAUUUUAAAUAUAACAGAUAAAAUAUUAAUUGAAAAAUUACUUAAUGUUUUGAUAAAAAAAAAUAUUUGUUUUGUAAAACCUAGAUAUUUCCUUAUGUGUUGUUAUACAUUAAUUAUAUAUAGAUAUUUUACGAAUAUAGAUGUAGCUUUUUAUUUUUUGAAAAAUUGUACUAAACUGAUUUGCAAAUUAAAACAGAAGGUUUAUAUUGACAAUUUUUUGUUUGUAUUAACAGGAUUUGUACAAAAUAGGUCUUUGUUUUGUAAAAAGAUAAACAAUACGUCUAAUGGUUAUAAUACUACUGAUAAUAAUGAUAAUAGAGACUCCGAUACAUAUCCUACAAUAUACAUUAACAACAAAACAAACGACAUGGCCAAUUUAAAAAUAGGCAACAAACAUUUCGACGAAAUAACUAAUGAAAUAACCAGUUAUGGACUAGUAGAAGAACAAAAAAAUGAUAAAAAAAAAAACACACAAACUAUGAAUGCGAGAUUAGCUAUUUUAUACAUAUUCAACGAAAUAAUUAAUUUGGAUUAUGAUUUAAAUGUAAAACAAAUUUUGUUAUAUAUACAAUUAUUUGCAAGUUAUAAUAUUAAAUUAAAUAGCGAAAUUAAAAAAAAAAUAUGCUAUUUGAUUAGUAACAAUGUUUAUUAUUUAGUUUCUUCUGUAAAUUUGGUUCUGCAAUUAUCUAUUAAAAUAUUUGAAAUAAAUAGUGAUUAUUUUAAAAAUAUAGCUACUACCUUUUUAGAUAAAAUGAAUUGCGAAUUAAUGCAAUUUACAAACAUUUUAAUGAAUAAUUCUAAGCAGUAUUUUUUUGACUGUAUUGUGGAAGGAGUAGGUGAUGGUAUAAAUUACAACACGAGUAAUAACAAUACAAAUAUGCGUUAUACAUACUUAACCGAUAUAGACACUUUAGGAAACAUCUUGUUUAUAUUUGAUCAAAUUGAUCUUAAUAAAAAAGAGUUUAUAUUAAAUAUUAUUAAUUUGUUGUCUAUUCACAAUUAUUUAUUAUUAAAAUAUAAAAAAAUAAAAUUUAAUUCAUUUGUUUAUAUACUUCAUUAUAUAUGUUCUAGUUAUAUAGAUACUCAAGAAUAUGUUAAAUUGGUAGGUUAUAUUAUGAGUAAUAUACGUGUGUAUAUAGAUUUAUGUUAUAGACAGUAUAUGCAGACUGUUGGCAAAAAAAUGGACGUACGUGUUGUAAAUCGUGAAAAGGAUAGUUGUACUGUUAGUCAUGGUAAUAAUACUAGUACUAACAACAGUAGUAUAAGCAAUAACAGUGACGGUAAUAGUGAAGAAGUAUGUACUGCGGAAGAGUAUGCAUUUGAUCAAGUGAAUCAUGACAUUAUAAAAGAUAAAAUAUAUAUAAAAGAUAUAAUCAUAUUUUUGGAUUUUAUGCGCAUUAGCAAGUUAUAUAUUAACGAUAUGGUUUUAGGCACUUUGAUAGAAAUGAUGAAAACUAACAAAAUAAAGUCCCUAUCGAAUGAAGACAUCGAGUUGUUAAAUUACAUUUUUAUAGACAUGGGUAUGUUCAACAAAAACGUAAUGGAUGAAGCAAAGUAUAGAGGAUUAAGCAUAGGAUUGAAUUCUUAAUUCGAAAUAAAAUUGUCAUAUAUUAACGUAUGUUCUAUCA